GAUGAAGAACGCAGCGAAAUGCGAUAAGUAAUGUGAAUUGCAGAAUUCAGUGAAUCAUCGAAUCUUUGAACGCACCUUGCGCCCUUUGGCCAUUCCGAAGGGCAUGCCUGUUUUAGUAUCAUGAACACCUCAACUCUUCAUGGUUUUCCAUGAUGAGCUUGGACUUUGGGGGUCUUGCUGGCCUGUGGGUCGGCUCCUCUCAAAUGAAUCAGCUUGCCGGUUUUUGGUGGGCAUCACAGGUGUGAUAACUAUCUACGCUUGUGGUUUUCCACCAGGGUAACCUUCAGCAGUGGAGGUUCACUGGAGCUUACAAAUGUCUCUCCUCUGUGAGGACAGCCCUUUGAAUGUUUGAUCUCAAAUCAGGUAGGACUACCCGCUGAACUUAAGCAUAUCAAUAAGCGGAGGA
rnacentral:misc_RNA from 1 species